UACGUAGGGUGCAAGCGUUAAUCGGAAUUACUGGGCGUAAAGCGUGCGCAGGCGGUGAUGUAAGACAGAUGUGAAAUCCCCGGGCUCAACCUGGGAACUGCAUUUGUGACUGCAUCGCUGGAGUACGGCAGAGGGGGAUGGAAUUCCGCGGUGUAGCAGUGAAAUGCGUAGAUAUGCGGAGGAACACCGAUGGCGAAGGCAAUCCCCGUGGGCCUGUACUGACGCUCAUGCACGAAAGCGUGGGGAGCAAACAGG
rnacentral:rRNA from 1 species